rnacentral:rRNA from 1 species
UACGGAGGAUCCAAGCGUUAUCCGGAUUUAUUGGGUUUAAAGGGUGCGUAGGCGUCCUUGUAAGUUACAGUUGAAAUCUCACCGCUUAACGGUGAAACUGGCUGUAAAACUGCAGGGAUUGAGUACAGUUGAGGUGGGCGGAAUGUGUCAUGUAGCGGUGAAAUGCAUAGAGAUGACACAGAACACCGAUUGCGAAGGCAGCUCGCUAAACUGUAACUGACGCUGAGGCACGAAAGUGUGGGGAUCAAACAGG